ACUUUUUUCAAAAAUAUUUGAUUUAGUUCAUUAGAAACGCUUUAAUAAUAUUAUUUAUUAAAUUUAAAUUUUAUGUUUGUACUGAAAGCAUAAAUUUGCAUGCACAAAUCUAAUUUAAGACCAAUUCACAGUCUCCCGCCUUUUCCAUCAACUUUGUGAAUGAAUAAUUAAAAUGUAGUGAAAAUUUAACUAAACCCCGAUUGCUGUCAAGUUUUGCAAAGCUUCAAUAAAUUUAUUAUUUUAUAGUGUUUUUUAACAUUUCUUAAAAAUGUGGAAAGAUUUAUAUAUAUUCAGCUAUUGAAAAUGAUUUUAACUAAUUAAAAGCAAGAACUUAAGACUUACAGAAAUGCAAUGUCCCAGGCUUUAAGAAAUGGUAUUAAAGAAGACAUAAGGGAUCAAGCAGAAGUUUCAUUUGGUUCCAUCCAACCUUCACUAUCGUCAUCACUGUCCGAGUCUUCGGAUUCGGAAAGUUCUAUUGCAACACGUCUAGCUAGAAUGGAGGCCACAUCAUGAAGGCCAGUAUUACGUUCGAUUUCUUUCUGUUCGGAUUUUUCCACUUUGCGAAGUGUUAUUCCUGGGGGAUUUGAGAAAAAAGAGAAAUUAUUAUUUAUGGUUCAAAAAUAUUAAUAAAAUAACUUAAAAAAUAGAA